ensembl:snRNA U6 U6 spliceosomal RNA
GUGCCUGCUUCGGCAGCACACCCACUAAAAUUGGAAUGAUACAGGAAGAUUACCACAGCCCUGCGCAAGGAUGAUGAGCAAAUUCCUGAAGUGUUCCAUAUGAGA